rnacentral:rRNA from 1 species
GACGAACGCUGGCGGCGUGCUUAACACAUGCAAGUCGAACGGAAAGGCCCUGCUUUUGUGGGGUGCUCGAGUGGCGAACGGGUGAGUAACACGUGAGUAACCUGCCCUUGACUUUGGGAUAACUUCAGGAAACUGGGGCUAAUACCGGAUAGGAGCUCCUGCUGCAUGGUGGGGGUUGGAAAGUUUCGGCGGUUGGGGAUGGACUCGCGGCUUAUCAGCUUGUUGGUGGGGUAGUGGCUUACCAAGGCUUUGACGGGUAGCCGGCCUGAGAGGGUGACCGGCCACAUUGGGACUAAGAUACGGCCCAGACGCCAACGGGAGGCAGCAGUGGGGAAUCUUGCACAACGGGCGGAAGCCUGAUGCAGCAACGCGGCGUGCGGGAUGACGGCCUUCGGGUUAUAAACCGCUUUCGCCUGUGACGAAGCGUGAGUGACGGUAAUGGGUAAAGAAGCACCGGCUAAGUACGUG